AGGCUGCUGAUGAGUCCCCGGUAGGGACGAAACACGUGUCCAGCCU
rnacentral:hammerhead_ribozyme from 1 species